AUCCAUUGCUAUAAAAUAUAUGCAUUUAAACAUAGACAUGUCAAAAAAAAUUACAAUAAAUGUAUUUUUUCCUUCUUAUUAAAAACAGCCUACGAGCCAAGCACAAGGAUUGCAUCAACACAGAAGUGCACUACAAAGCGCAGUAGCAAGAAAAAGGAGCCCAACCCCCAAACUAAAAGCAACAAAAAAUAAUGAUAAGAGACAAAAGGACAAAGGACUUACGAAAACAGCAGCAGAAUUACAAAAAUGGCAGCAGACUUAAGAAUUGGUAGCGCAAAAUCAGAAAUACUUCUUUCGUUAGUUGAAUCCAAUCACUAUCUAUGUGAGUAAACAAAGUAGAGAACCAUAUCAAUGACCAAUAUAAUGAAACUAAUAAGGAAGGCUUUGGUCUAUGACACAUGAAACUAAAUUAGGUAGUAGUAUGUUUUACAACACCUAAAUACAUGUGAUACUAACUUCAAUGAAUUGUAUUGUGAUGUGAACAUUAUUGUAGAAGUUUGAUAAGUGUUGAUUUUAUACUUUAAUUAACUCUUGUAUUUGGGCUUAAUUGUCAAACAUGAUUAAUUUAUGGAUUUGUACUCAUUUUAACCUUUAUGUCUUCGGCAGUGCAUAUCUGGAGCUACGAAUAUCGGAUUUUGAUGAUCUUUGCACCGUUGGAAAGCUAAGACAAAUUACUACAAUUUUGUAUUUCACAAGCUUCGUCAAAUUUAACUUAAAUCUAGACGAAACGAGGCUCUAAAGCUACAGGUCGUUAUUGUAAAGUGGCCAAAUAUUUUCUCUCACAAUCAAUAGGACCCGAAUUACCCUCACAGUGAGUCUUAAUCUCAGCCUCAUUCGAUUCACUGCUAACUGAAUUAUCAACAUCAGUCAUGUUAAUAAUUGAACCAAACACAGACUCAUUGGUAGCCAUAAAAUCUUCAACAGUUUUAACAACACUAUUAUCAGACUUAAAAGUAGCAUUUGAUUUAGAAGUGAGGAAUGUUGACAUCUUUGUUGAAGGAUAAAAUAAAGGAUCCUCAGGUUCAUAAGUAGCAGCCAUAAUAGUAAACACUAAAACACCAAUAACAAAAACUGAGAAACAAACAUUCCCAAUCAUGGCCAUAGUAUUCUGACCUAAAUUCUCUGGUCUGAAACCUCCUGGUCUAGAAAAUGCAGACCGACCCAACAUUUCAAAUUAAUCAAUAAUAAUAAACAAUAGCAGUGGUUAUGAGUUAAACAUAUAUAAGUACAUGUUGGAGUACUUGUAAUUAUCCUAAAGUACUUCUUGUACUUAAAUUUUAGCUAAUACUUUGGAGUUUUUUUAUGAAAAAAGGCUAAAUUUUAUUAUAAUCAAAGUAGAGUACAAGGGUACCAAUAUAAUGGAAGCUUAAAAAUCAAAAGAACAACAAAAUCAAAAGCACCAAGAAGAGGUUGGGGUUCCAAAAUCAACAAGCAACAAACAAACAAUAAAGCAAACUAAAAAAUCCAGAACUCAAGCACAACAAACACAUAGCAAAAACAGUAAAUUAGAUGAAAAGUAACGAACCUGAGAUGGAGCAACGAACAAACUCUUCUUAACGGAGAGAUGAGAGCAAUGAAACUGAACCUUAGAUGAAAAACAAACUCUUCUGAACACUUGUGAUUUAGGGGGAUUUAGCAAAUUAAGGAAUGAAGAAAUUGAUUUAGGGGUUAGGGUUGAUGAAGAAAAGGAGUUAGGGAUUAGGAUUGUGAUAGGAAUCUGCGAUGAAAAGAUG
rnacentral:lncRNA from 1 species